AAAAAUAAAAAUUUUUGUUUUUUCUAAAAAUUCUAGCGUUAACUUCAAAAUUUCUUGUUGUAUCAAUCUUGGUCGUAUUGGACACUAGGACACUUGGACAUUAAAAUGUAGCAUCCAAAUAAUUAUAACAAUUAAGUUUGUUAUAUAUAUUAUAUUUCUGUUGAUUUGAACACAUCUCACAUCAUCACAAAUUUUAAAAAUAAGGAGGCACCAUUCUAUCCAUCCGUGCCAAAAGAAUAGGAAAACUAUACCUCAAUUUUAAACCAUAUAUAAACUUUCAUAUAAACUAAGUUAAGAAAGAGCAUUUCGAUUUAAGAUUCUUUCUCUAUAAAAUUUCUUUACACUGGAUAAAAAUUUCCACAUAUUAUUAAAAUGGAGUGAAGUUAAGGAUACGUGUUGUUUCAUCAUUUAUUAUAAUAUUAGAAAGAUUAACUAAAACGAAAACUAUUAGAACUAUUAUGCUUUUAACCUUAUCAAAAUCUUAUAUCCACUUCUUUUUAAACUUUUUUCAAGGAGGCACCAUCCAAUCCAUCCGUGGCAAAAAAAUAUGUUAGGAAAACUAUGUCUCAAUUUUAAACCAUAUAUAAACUUUCAUAUAAACUAAGUUAAGAAAGAGAUUCUUUCUCUAUAAAAUUUCUUUACACUGGAUAAAAAUUUCCACAUAUUAUUAAAAUGGAGUGAAGUUAAGGAUACGUGUUGUUUCAUCAUUUAUUAUAAUAUUAGAAAGAUUAACUAAAACGAAAACUAUUAGAACUAUUAUGCUUUUAACCUUAUCAAAAUCUUAUAUCCACUUCUUUUUAAACUUUUUUCAAGGAGGCACCAUCCAAUCCAUCCGUGGCAAAAAAAUAUGUUAGGAAAACUAUGUCUCAAUUUUAAACCAUAUAUAAACUUUCAUAUAAACUAAGUUAAGAAAGAGAUUCUUUCUCUAUAAAAUUUCUUUACACUGGAUAAAAAUUUCCACAUAUUAAAAUGGAGUGAAGUUAAGGAUACGUGUUGUUUCAUUAUACACUACUAUAGAUAAUGAUUCCUUCGACUUCGUAAAUUUUUAUAAUACACAUUUCAUUUAUAAAAAUCUUACUAUAUAUCCUUAUCUUAUGCAAGUUGCUUUGGUUAACAGUACUAUAUUAAUGUAUAAUAUUCAUUAUUUAAUAAAAGACCAGACUUUUUUUGAAGAGAGUUUCUCUUUUGGUUAUCAACGGAUAUAAUGAAUGAUUGACUGGUGGAAGGAAGCACAUACAAUAUUUAAAAGCAAUUACAAUGAAAGCAUAUAUAUACAUGUAUAUAUACAUAUAUGAAAAUUUAUAGUACAAAUCUAUAAUGAAAAAAUAACCCCAAAAGAAUUACUUUAAUUAAAACUCUCAAGUGGAUCAAAGUAAAUCUGUUGAAAUCAAUUAAGCAUAUCACUUAAGAUAUGUAUACCUGAUGAUUUUACAGGAUUUAUUUAAGCGAUCUUUUAUGGGAUCAUUACUUAAUUUGUGUUAAUUAACUAAUUAAUAUUAGUUUCAUUUGAUCAUGAUAAAAACUUUCUGAAAAAUAAAUUUA